GGUGUAUAUACUUGUCAACAACAGCAAUAUUACACAAGUUUGAACUCUAAUUUAUUAUAAAAUAUAAUAAAGAAAGAAAAACUGUUGAAUUAACCAUUUAAAAAAAAUCAUUUGCGAAACAAACGCUUAUGAUUAAAAGAAUCUGACCAAAUAGGAAAGUGAAAAAUACCGUGUUAUUAGACACAGGGGUCAAAUUUAUUUUAGUUUAAACAAUAUUUAUUAAAAAAAAAAUGUAAAGAUAGAUAUUACAAUGUUACAUAAAGUUCAAAUAUGGGAUUCGGAAACAAGUUUGGAAAAACUUUUAUAAAUCCGUCUCCCUAAAAAUAAAAACAUCUAUUUAACAAACAAUAUUACGUGCCAACAGUAUAUUCAGUUUACGGUAGCAUAUGAUAAAUUGAAUAGAUACACACACACACACACACGCAAAAAAAAUACAACAAAUAAAAUAAAUGAAAAAAAAUAAAAAUAUGGAAAAAAAGGGGGAAAAAAACACGAAACAGUCAACUCUUAUUUACUUUUCUAGACAGUCACUGGAACCAACACACACGUCCGACUAUAGUCAAUUACGCCGGGCAAUCCACUCGAUUUUACAUCAUAUUAAAAAUUUAUUUUGCUGAUAAUGAUGACAAAAGCUGGCACUUAAUUUAGAAGAUUAGAAUGAAGUAUCCAAAUAUAUGCAAUGUCAAUCAAAAUUUUAAGCAUAC
rnacentral:lncRNA from 1 species